UGUGGUGUGGCUCAGUGGCAGAGCACUUGCCUCACGUGUGCGGGCCCUGGGUUUCAUCCCCAGCACCUCAG
rnacentral:tRNA from 1 species